GGAGUUGGCCAGACAGUCGCCGCUGCGCGUGCGCAGGGGAGGAAAGUCCGGGCUCCAUAGGGCAGAGUGCCAGGUAACGCCUGGGCGGCGCGAGCCGACGGAAAGUGCAGCAGAGAGUAGACCGCCGGUUCCUUGUGGACCGGUAAGGGUGAAAGGGUGCGGUAAGAGCGCACCGCGCGCCUGGCAACAGUGCGUGGCAAGGUAAACCCCACUCGGAGCAAGACCAAAUAGGGACCCAUUGGCGUGGCCCGCGCUGGGUCCGGGUAGGUUGCUUGAGCGCUUUGGCGACAAAGCGCCUAGAGGAAUGACUGUCCACGACAGAACCCGGCUUAUCGGCCGACUCCCCAU
rnacentral:RNase_P_RNA from 1 species